rnacentral:rRNA from 1 species
CAGCAGUGAGGAAUAUUGGUCAAUGGCCGCAGGGCUGAACCAGCCAAGUCGCGUGAGGGAUGACGGUCCUAUGGAUUGUAAACCUCUUUUGUCAGGGAGCAAAGGGCGCCACGUGUGGCGCUUUGCGAGUACCUGAAGAAAAAGCAUCGGCUAACUCCGUGCCAGCAGCCGCGGUAAUACGGAGGAUGCGAGCGUUAUCCGGAUUUAUUGGGUUUAAAGGGUGCGCAGGCGGAAUGUCAAGUCAGCGGUAAAAUUUCGGGGCUCAACCCCGUCGUGCCGUUGAAACUGGCGUUCUUGAGUGAGCGAGAAGUAUGCGGAAUGCGUGGUGUAGCGGUGAAAUGCAUAGAUAUCACGCAGAACUCCGAUUGCGAAGGCAGCAUACCGGCGCUCAACUGACGCUCAUGCACGAAAGCGUGGGUAUCGAACAGGAUUAGA